AAGUCGUAACAAGGUAACCGUAGGUGAACCUGCGGUUGGAUCAUUAUCACGUUUUUAUUACGUUAUAUUAUCUACCAACGCGAAUUCAUAAGGGUCUUUGGGUUUUAUUACUCGAACCUCCGCAAAUUAAAACGAAAUUAAUUCUUCAUUGAAUUUGUUUUCGUUUGAUUUGAAAACCCCUUUGAUUUACUAUCAAAACAAACUUUUAUAACUUUUUGGUUACUGAAAUUAUUUGUUGUUUUUUCGAUUUCAUUUUUUAAUUAAAACGAAUUUCGAAAAAAUGUCAAAAAACUUACGAAAUAAAAAUGAACAACUCUUAGCAACGGAUAUCUAGGUUCUC
rnacentral:misc_RNA from 1 species